rnacentral:lncRNA from 1 species
AAACCAGAUGCUCCGCAGACCCCAGAAGUUGAACCCUGAACGGUUGGGGCAAGUAUGGACACAACAUUCAAGCUGGAUUCAGCUCUAAAUUUGGAUUGUGAUUAAAUAGUUGACACAGCAUAGGUUUCGGACACAGAAUGAAUAUGGUCUAAUGAACUUAAAAAUUUUUUUUUUGCCUUUGAGCAAUUCACUAUGUUGUUGAAUAUUAAUCCUCUCAAAAAAAUGUUUGAAGAAAUUUUCUUUUUAUUUAUGAAAU